UACGUACUACCUCCGUCCGAAAAUACUUGUCAUCAAAAUAGACAAAAAAGAUGUACUAUCUAUAAUUAAAAUAUGUCUAGAUAUAUCUUUUUUUAUUCAUCUUGAUGACAAGUAUUUCCGGACGAAGAGAGUACUAG
rfam:Triticum aestivum genome assembly, contig: Triticum_aestivum_CS42_TGACv1_scaffold_328625_4BS